rnacentral:lncRNA from 1 species
GAUGUCUUCAAGGAACAACUGCUAAUGAGUCUGCAGAGUCGCCUGUGUGUCUUUCAGCGUAGUCUCCACUCAGAGCUGAGUGAGUGGCCCCAUUGAUGAGUGAAGAGGCGACGACGGAUUGACCGAAGUAUGAUUGGGGAACCAACCAACUUUGUGCACACAGCUCACGUAGGAUCCGGAGACCUAUUUAGUGGGAUGAACUCGGUCAGCUCCAUUCAGAACCAGAUGCAGUCCAAGGGAGGUUAUGGAGGAGGAAUGCCUGCCAAUGUGCAGAUGCAGCUUGUGGACACAAAGGCAGGAUAGCCCUGGUCCCUUCAUCUGUCAUUGUGAACUCCCGUAUUUUCUCUGUCCACAGUUCUAUAAUAUUUUUGUCUUGUGAUUGGAUUUCUUUUAUUUUAAUUAUAAAAAAGAAGUGUGGCGGCAAUCUGUUCACCCUGUGAUCUCCAGCAAAGAUGUUCCUGCUCCAGGGAAGGCAGUGUCAGGCCGACCUGCCUUGCCGUUAGCGGCAUGCAUGCCUGGGACUCUGACAGAGUUCUUUGGAUCGUAGCUGAAUUUUCAAUGUUUAAUUGACAUGGAUCGGAUCUUAGCAUGGUCUUCUUUGUGACUGCUAGCACUGUAUUGUAAUUUUCCAUUUUAAACCUUUUCGUUGCACCUCC